CGUUGUCCGGAUUAUUGGGCGUAAAGCGCGCGCAGGCGGAUUGGUCAGUCUGUCUUAAAAGUUCGGGGCUUAACCCCGUGAUGGGAUGGAAACUGCCAAUCUAGAGUAUCGGAGAGGAAAGUGGAAUUCCUAGUGUAGCGGUGAAAUGCGUAGAUAUUAGGAAGAACACCAGUGGCGAAGGCGACUUUCUGGACGAAAACUGACGCUGAGGCGCGAAAGCCAGGGGAGCGAACGGGAUUAGAUACCCCGGUAGUCCUGGCCGUAAACGAUGGGUACUAGGUGUAGGAGGUAUCGACCCCUUCUGUGCCGGAGUUAACGCAAUAAGUACCCCGCCUGGGGAGUACGACCGCAAGGUUGAAACUCAAAGGAAUUGACGGGGGCCCGCACAAGCGGUGGAGUAUGUGGUUUAAUUCGACGCAACGCGAAGAACCUUACCAGGUCUUGACAUUGAUGGACAGAACUAGAGAUAGUUCCUCUUCUUCGGAAGCCAGAAAACAGGUGGUGCACGGUUGUCGUCAGCUCGUGUCGUG
rnacentral:rRNA from 1 species